UCCCUGGUAGUAUAUCGGUUUAGUACACGCGCCUGUCAUAACUGCUGAGUUUCGCAGCCUUUACGCGCGAAAGCUGGGUUCGACUCCCAGCCAGGGAG
rnacentral:tRNA from 1 species